rnacentral:rRNA from 1 species
UACGGAGGGGGCAAGCGUUGUUCGGAAUUACUGGGCGUAAAGGGCUCGUAGGCGGCCCACUAAGUCCGACGUGGAAUCCCCAGGCUUAACUUGGGAACUGCGUCGGAUACUGGUGGGCUUGAAUCCGGGAGAGGGAUGCGGAAUUCCAGGUGUAGCGGUGAAAUGCGUAGAUAUCUGGAGGAACACCGGUGGCGAAGGCGGCAUCCUGGACCGGCAUUGACGCUGAGUGAGCGAAAGCCAGGGGAGCAAACGGG